rnacentral:piRNA from 1 species
UGGAGAUUCAGAGCAAGCCGCACCUCUGG